GACGAACGCUGGCGGCGUGCUUAACACAUGCAAGUCGAGCGGUAAGGCCCUUUCGGGGGUACACGAGCGGCGAACGGGUGAGUAACACGUGGGUGACCUGCCCUCAGCUCUGGGAUAAGCCUGGGAAACCGGGUCUAAUACUGGAUAUGACUCCAUGACGCAUGUUGUGGGGUGGAAAGCCUUGUGCGGCUGAGGAUGGGCCCGCGGCCUAUCAGCUUGUUGGUGGGGUGANGGCCUACCAAGGCGACGACGGGUAGCCGCCUGAGAGGCGACCGGCCACACUGGGACUGAGACGACGGCCCAGACUCCGUACGGGAGGCAGCAGGUGGGGAAUCUUGCGCAAGU
rnacentral:rRNA from 1 species